AAUCCGCACUCACCCACCCGUACACGGCAGGAGCGGGGGACCCACAGGUACAACGCCUGGUCCGGUCUUCCGGGACAGGCUCGGGGUAUAGCCGCCACAGCGCGGCCGGGCAUCUCCAGCUCGCACCCGACAGCUCACCUCGCAGGCGCCGGAGAGGAAUU
rnacentral:sRNA from 2 species